UAGGUAACCUGCCUCUAAGAUUGGGAUAACUUGUCGAAAGACGAGCUAAUACCAAAUAAGACCACAGUCUCCUCGGGGACAGAGGUCAAAGGUAGCCUCUAUUUAUAAGCUAUCGCUGAGAGAUGGGCCUGCGUACCAUUAGCUUGUUGGUGAGGUAACGGCUCACCAAGGCAAAGAUGGUUAGCUGGUCUGAGAGGAUGAUCAGCCACACUGGAACUAAGANACCGG
rnacentral:rRNA from 1 species